AAAGAUUAAGCCAUGCAUGUCUAAGUAUAAGCAAUAAUACAGUGAAACUGCGAAUGGCUCAUUAAAUCAGUUAUCGUUUAUUUGAUAUUACAUUACUACUUGGAUAACCGUGGUAAUUCUAGAGCUAAUACAUGCACAAUUCCCGACCUCUGGAAGGGAAGUAUUUAUUAGAUAAAAAACCAACAUUUCAGGUGAUUCAUAAUAACUUGUCGAAUCGCAAGGCCUUGCGCUGGCGAUGGUUCAUUCAAAUUUCUGCCCUAUCAACUUUCGAUGGUAGGAUAGUGGCCUACCAUGGUUACAACGGGUAACGGGGAAUAAGGGUUCGAUUCCGGAGAGGAAGCCUGAGAAACGGCUACCACAUCCAAGGAAGGCAGCAGGCGCGCAAAUUACCCAAUCCUGAUACAGGGAGGUAGUGACAAUAUAUAACGAUCCAGGGCCUUUUAGGUCUUGGAAUUGGAAUGAGUACAAUUUAAAUACCUUAACGAGGAACAAUUGGAGGGCAAGUCUGGUGCCAGCAGCCGCGGUAAUUCCAGCUCCAAUAGCGUAUAUUAAAGUUGUUGCAGUUAAAAAGCUCGUAGUUGAAGUUCAAGGGUACUUUAUUGGACCCUGGGGUUCGCCCCGUUACUUUGAGAAAAUUAGAGUGUUCAAAGCAGGCGAUUGCUCGAAUAUAUUAGCAUGGAAUAACAGAAUAGGACGAAGGUUUUAUUUUGUUGGUUUCUAAAGCCAUCGUAAUGAUUAAUAGGGACAGUCGGGGGUGUCAGUAUUCAAUUGUCAGAGGUGAAAUUCUUGGAUUUAUUGAAGACUAACUGCUGCGAAAGCGUUCAUCAAGGAUGUUUUCAUUAAUCAAGAACGAAAGUUAGGGGAUCAAAGAUGAUUAGAUACCGUCGUAGUCUUAACCGUAAACUAUGCCGACUGGGGAUGGGAUUUUAUGAAAAUUAUUAUUCCGCACCCUGUGAGAAAUCAUAAGUUUUUGGGUUCUGGGGGGAGUAUGGUCGCAAGGCUGAAACUUAAAGGAAUUGACGGAAGGGCACCACCAGGAGUGGAGCCUGCGGCUUAAUUUGACUCAACACGGGGAAACUCACCAGGUCCAGACACAGUAAGGAUUGACAGAUUGAGAGCUCUUUCUUGAUUUUGUGGGUGGUGGUGCAUGGCCGUUCUUAGUUGGUGGAGUGAUUUGUCUGCUUAAUUGCGAUAACGAACGAGACCUUAACCGUUAAAUAGUGAAGGUUGCGUCAGCAGCCGGAACUUCUUAGCGGGACUGUCGACGUAAGUCGAAGGAAGUUUGAGGCAAUAACAGGUCUGUGAUGCCCUUAGACGUUCUGGGCCGCACGCGCGCUACACUGACGGAGCCAACGAGUCUUAACCAAGUUCGAGAGGACUAGGUAAUCUUGUUAAACUCCGUCGUGCUGGGGAUUGAGCAUUGCAAUUAUUGCUCAUGAACGAGGAAUUCCUAGUAAGCGCAAGUCAUCAGCUUGCGUUGAUUACGUCCCUGCCCUUUGUACACACCGCCCGUCGCUACUACCGAUUGAAUGGCUUAGUGAGGUAUUGGGAGGGAUGAGAUUUGGGGGUGACUCCAGAUUUCGUCCCCAACUUUAUCAAACUUGGUCAUUUAGAGGAAGUAAAAGUCGUAACAAGGUU
rnacentral:rRNA from 1 species